GACGAACGCUGGCGGCGUGCUUAACACAUGCAAGUCGAACGGAAAGGCCCUGCUUUUGUGGGCUGCUCGAGUGGCGAACGGGUGAGUAACACGUGAGUAACCUGCCCUUGACUUUGGGAUAACUUCAGGAAACUGGGGCUAAUACCGGAUAGGAGCUCCUGCUGCAUGGUGGGCGUCGGAAAGUUUCGGCGGUUGGGGAUGGACUCGCGGCUUAUCAGCUUGUUGGUGGGGUAGUGGCUUACCAAGGCUUUGACGGGUAGCCGGCCUGAGAGGGUGACCGGCCACAGUGGGACUGAGAUACGGCCCAGACUCCUACGGGAGGCAGCAGUGGGGAAUAUUGCACAAUGGGCGGAAGCCUGAUGCAGCAACGCCGCGUGCGGGAUGACGGCCUUCGGGUUGUAAACCGCUUUCGGCUGUGACGAAGCGUGAGUGACGGUAAUGGGUAAAGAAGCACCGGCUAACUACGUG
rnacentral:rRNA from 1 species